GAUGAACGCUGGCGGCGUGCCUAAUACAUGCAAGUCGAGCGAACAGACGAGGAGCUUGCUCCUCUGACGUUAGCGGCGGACGGGUGAGUAACACGUGGAUAACCUACCUAUAAGACUGGGAUAACUUCGGGAAACCGGAGCUAAUACCGGAUAAGAUAUUGAACCGCAUGGUUCAAUAGUGAAAGACGGUUUUGCUGUCACUUAUAGAUGGAUCCGCGCCGCAUUAGCUAGUUGGUAAGGUAACGGCUUACCAAGGCAACGAUGCGUAGCCGACCUGAGAGGGUGAUCGGCCACACUGGAACUGAGACACGGUCCAGACUCCUACGGGAGGCAGCAGUAGGGAAUCUUCCGCAAUGGGCGAAAGCCUGACGGAGCAACGCCGCGUGAGUGAUGAAGGUCUUCUGAUCGUAAAACUCUGUUAUUAGGGAAGAACAAACGUGUAAGUAACUAUGCACGUCUUGACGGUACCUAAUCAGAAAGCCACGGCUAACUACGUG
rnacentral:rRNA from 1 species